GAUGAACGCUAGCGGCAGGCUUAAUACAUGCAAGUCGAGCGGCAGCGCAGUGUAGUUAUACCCGGGCGGCGACCGGCAAACGGGUGCGGAACACGUACGCAACCUACCCAUAACUGUUGAAUAGCUUCCCGAAAGGAGGAUUAAUACCUCGUAAUUUAAUGAAGCGGAAUCUCCUUAUUAAUAUAGCUCCGGUGGUUUCGGAUGGGCGUGCGCCCGCUUCGGUUGAUGUCGGGGUAACGGUCCCCCAAGACCGCGAUCAGUAACCGGUGUGAGAGCACGACCAGUCACACGGAGACUGAGACACGGGCCCGACGGGUACGGGAGGCAGCAGUAAGGAAUAUUGGUCAAAGGACGCAAGGCUGAACCAGCCAUGCCGCGUGAAGGAUGAAGGUCCUGUGGAUUGUAAACUUCUUUUGAAUGGGACGAUACCUCUUUUUCUUGAGAGACUGACGGUACCAUUAGAAUAAGCACCGGCUAACUCCGUG
rnacentral:rRNA from 1 species